rnacentral:snRNA from 1 species
GCGCUGGCUUUGGCAGCACAUAUAUUAAAACUGGAACAAUACAGAGAAGAUUAGCAUGGCCCCUGCUCAAGGAUGACACAGAGAUUUGUGAAGCAUUCCAUAUUUUU